rnacentral:rRNA from 1 species
UACGGGGGGGGCAAGCGUUGUUCGGAAUUACUGGGCGUAAAGGGCUCGUAGGUGGCCAACUAAGUCGGACGUGAAAUCCCUCGGCUUAACCGGGGAACUGCGUCUGAUACUGGAUGGCUUGAGUUCGGGAGAGGGAUGCGGAAUUCCAGGUGUAGCGGUGAAAUGCGUAGAUAUCGUAAGGAAGACCAGUGGCGAAGGCGGGUCUCUGGACAGUUCCUGACGCUGAGGCACGAAGGCCAGGGGAGCAAACGGG